GCCGUCUUAGCUCAGUGGUAGAGCGCGUGGCUUUUAACCACGUGGUCGUGGGUUCGACCCCCACAGACGGCG
rnacentral:tRNA from 1 species